GUGUCCCCAGUGUCCCCAGUGUCCUCAGCACCAUCCCCACUGUCCCCAAUGUCCCCACUGUCCCCGAGUGGGCCCCGCCACCCCCCGGCCCCCUCUUGACUUGGAGACUCGGUGACAGCGCCGGACACGGUGACACCCCCGGACAUGGUGACAGCGCUGGACACGGUGACACUGCCAGACACGGUGACACUGGACACGGUGACACUGGACAUGGUGACACUGGACACGGUGACACCCCCGGACAUGGUGACACGGCCAGCACAGGCUCCGCCCACCUUUAACCCGGGAGAGGGGGGUGGGGGAGGGGCUGGAAUUUCCCUCCCCUCCCCCCCCAGGAAGAUUUUUCCAGGGAAUUCCCGAAUUCCCGGACAGAUGCACUUUGUUGGGAAUUCCCAAAUCUUUUUUGUUUUUCCCGGGAAAAUAAAAAAAAUUCCCAAAAUUCCCAUAAAUCUUGUACGUACGCCCCUCCCCCACCCUGUAAAUAGCCCCUCCCCCCUCCGGCCGACAAUCGGGGGCGGCACCCCCAAAAUCCCGGGAUUUCACCCCAAAAAAUCCCGGGAUUUCCCAAAAAAAAUCCUGGGAAUUCAUCCAAAAACAUCCUGGGAAUUCAUCCCAAAAAUCCUGGGAUUUCACCCCAAAAAAUCCCGGGAUUUCCCAAAAAAAUUCUGGGAUUUCACCCCAAAAAUUCUGGGAUUUCCCAAAAAAAUCCUGGGAUUUCACCCCAAAAUCCUGGGAAUUCAUCCCAAAAAUCCUGGGAUUUCCCAAGAAAAAAAUCCUGGGAAUUCAUCCCAAAAAAUCCCGGGAUUCCCUCCAAAAAAUCUGGGAUUUCCCCUCAAAAAUUCUGGGAUUUCACCCCAAAAAUCCUGGGAAUUCAUCCCAAAAAAUCCUGGGAUUUCCCCAAAAAUCCUGGGAUUUCCCAAAAAAAAUCCUGGGAUUUCACCCCAAAAAUCCUGGGAAUUCAUCCCAAAAAUCCCGGGAUUUCACCCCAAAAAUCCUGGGAAUUCAUCCCAAAAAUCCUGGGAAUUCAUCCCAAAAAAUCCUGAGAUUUCCCCCAAAAAAUCCCAGGAUUUCCCAAAAAAAUCCUGGGAAUUCAUCCCAAAAAUCCUGGGAACUCAUCCCAAAAAAUCCUGGGAAUUCAUCUCAAAAAAUCCCGGGAUUUCCCCAAAAAAUCCUGGGAAUUCAUCCCAAAAAAUCCUGGGAAUUCAUCCCAAAAAAAAAUCUGGGAUUUCCCAAUAAAAUCCUGGGAUUUUCCCCCCAAAAUUCCGGGAUUUCCCCCCAAAAUUCCAGGAUUUCCCCCCAAAUUCCAGGAUUUUCCCCCAAAUCCCGGGAUUUCCCCUCUAUAAAUAUUAUAAAUACAGAGAUGGAAACUUGGAAGAAUUCCCGAAUCUUGGACUCCUUUUUUUGGGAUUUGGGAAUUUCGGGAUCCAGCCCCGGCCCCAGGGACCCCAAAGUGUCCCCAAAGGCCCAAAAGUGUCCCCAAAGUGUCCCCAAGGUCCCCUGGGGGAGGAAAUCCUGUCCCUGGGGGUGUCAGUGUCCCAGGGAGGGGAGUGACAGUGUCCCCAGGUGGGUGUCAUUGUCCCCAGGGGGGUGACAGUGUCCCCAAGGGGUGACAGUGUCCCCAGGGGGGGUGUCAGUGUCCCCAAGGGGUGUCAGUGUCCCCAGGGGGUGUCAUUGUCCCCAGGGGGGGUGACAGUGUCCCCAGGUGGGUGUCAUUGUCCCCAGGGGUGGUGUCAGUGUCCCCAGGGGGUGUCAGUGUCCCCAAGGGCUGUCAUUGUCCCCAGGGGGGUGACAGUGUCCCCAGGGGGGUGUCAGUGUCCCCAGGGGGUGUCAGUGUCCCCAGGGGCUGUCAUUGUCCCCAGGGGGGUGACAGUGUCCCCAGGGGGUGACAGUGUCCCCAAGGGGUGACAGUAUCCCCAGGGGGGUGACAGUGUCCCCAAGGGGUGACAGUGUCCCCAAGGGGGGUGACAGUGUCCCCAGGGGUGGUGUCAUUGUCCCCAAGGGGGGGUGUCAGUGUCCCCAAGGAGUGUCAUUGUCCCCAGGGGUGGUGUCAGUGUCCCCAGUGAGGUGUCAGUGUCCCCAGGGGGGUGACAGUGUCCCCAGGGGGGUGUCAGUGUCCCCAAGGGGGUGACAGUGUCCCCAGGGGGUGUCAGUGUCCCCAGGGGGGUGGCAGUGUCCCCAGGGGUGGUGUCAUUGUCCCCAGGGGGGUGUCAGUGUCCCCAGGGGGUGUCAUUGUCCC
ensembl:lncRNA